GCACAGAUGUAUUAGAAUCUAGAAUACUAUAUGGAAUCACCAAACAAAGAGACCUCCAGGAGGCAAGGCUGGAGGACAGGUCUUGGGAUGGGGCAGAGACAAGUGGGGCCAAGAGGAAGCCAGAUGAGGAACCUGGGAGGGAAUGAUCAUGUAAAGGCAGUUACUCACCAGGAGCAGGCUGAGACCACGUAAGACCAAAGGGGAUGCCUAGCAGAGAGGUGGAGCCCUGGCUCUGCUGGCAUUUCCUCCUGCAGCUGGCAGUGGGGGUGUGUGGGCCCCAAGUGCAUAGUCUUUGCUUCUGCGGGGUUCUUGUCAGUGUGUGCAUGACCCAAGGAGAGAGCCAAGAGGGACUCCAAGGCUCCUGGCUUCCAAGCUCUGCCCAAGAAGAGCUGUCCUACCCUCAGGAGAGCUUUACUGUAACCAGGCAAUUUAGCCUCCCAAGCAGUUGGACAGGCCCCGGAGAUAAUAAAGAAAGAAGGUAACAGAGUGGAUCUGCAAAGCCUUUAAUACACAGCAUUAAAAGGUGAUCCUAGAGCAAACAGAAGUCUGAGAACCUCAUUUUAUCUGCUAACGUGAAUCUCCUUGGCAAGAUCUCCAGACUAUGUGAUCACUACCAAAGUGACGGGGAGCUCACUCCUCCGCUGACCAGCUCAUGGACCUCUUUGGACUUCCUAAUGAAUUCCUGCAAGGUUGUUCCAAAUCUCCUGGGUCUGCCAGGGGCCUCCAGCCACCCUCACCCUCCAGACCAGAGGUAAUUUUACUGAGAAAGUCACAGGCAUGUGUCCCUGGCUUUCCUCAGCUCCCUUCCCCAUCAAGAUUUCUAUUUUCACUCCAACUGAUCUCUGAGGAAGAGGUGCCCAAUUUCCUCCCAACAAACCUCCCUGCCUGCAGAGUGACCUCAUUCCCUUCUGUCUCUUCAAAACCGUGCUGCAUUCACUUUUCCACCCUUCACAUCAUCCAUCUCUUCUGCUUUUUCUCCAGCCUACAGACAUCUCGUCUCCCUUUCCCUAAAAGCCAUAAGCAAUUUCCAUUCUCUCCCAAACUAUUCUCUUCUUCUGUCACCGUCCAUCUUUCAGAAAGGAUGAGCUUCACAUCACCUUCUCACCUGCCACAUUCUUCUCUGCUUUUUGCCCUUUCAUUAAUGACCAACGCUCAACCGAAGCGGCCAUCUUAAGGCCCCCAAUGAUUUUCUCAAUCAAGUGAUUGUUGACUAUUGUGCCCUCUGGGAAAUUUGCUCCUGUCUGGGGUGCCAUGGCAGUGUAAUUUCCUUAGAGCCCCUUCUUUCCUAUCAAUGUUGUACCUCUAGAAGUAUCCGUUCUUGGACCUUUUAGUGAGCUUCAAAUUACUUCUGCCUCUUACUCUACAGCAGCCAGAAGAAUUGGGUGGGAAUGUGGGAAUGAUCCCACUCCCACCUCUAGUGGUAAGCAAUGACUGAUCUAAGGCCAUGAGUAUAAACCCCUUCCUCCUACCACACUGAUGGUUCAGGGGAAAGCAGACCAGAGCAAUCAACAUGUGGCACUUACAUGUGACCUAUGGUGACUUGGUGAGAACAAAGCUCAAGACUUUUGUUUCAUAGCUCAGGGAAGCCAGUUGUUUCUCUCCUCUUGGGUGUAAAUGAUAAAGCAUAUCAAUCUAGUUGCUGAUUGCUGUUGGCUACCAUCUUACAACCUUGAAGCAAUCUGGUAUGAAGACGAAGUCAAAACACAGAAUAGAGCAGAGUUUAGAGAACUGAAGUAUAAUGGAUCCAGAUCCCUGAUGGUCAGCAGCUGGGAUUUUUUAGUCACGCAAGUCAAUAAAUUCCUUGUAUUAUUUAAAUCA
ensembl:lncRNA